UAACAAUGAUUUCCCUAGUAUCGCCGAGUGAAGAGGAAAGAGCUCAAAGUUGGAACCUGUUUGGCUUAGCUAAACCGGAUUGUAAACUGUAGAAGUGUUUUCCUGACACGCCAGAUAAAUAAGUCCUUUGGAACAGGGCAUCAUAGAGGGUGAGAAUCCCGUCUUUGGUCUGAGCUGUUGUCUUCUGUGAUACACUUUCAAAGAGUCAGGUUGUUUGGGAAUGCAGCCUAAAUUGGGUGGUAAAUCUCACCUAAAGCUAAAUAUUUGCGAGAGACCGAUAGCGAACAAGUCCCGUGAGGGAAAGAUGAGAGAACUUUGAAAAGAGAGUUAAACAGUAUGUGAAAUUGUUAAAAGGGAACCGGUUGGAGCCAGACUGGCUUGGCUGUAAUCAAUCUAGAUCCUUCUGGAUGCACUUGCAGUUAUGCCUGGCAACGACAAUUUUUUCUAAAGGAAAAAACCAAGAGGAAUGUGACCCUUCGGGGUGUUAUAGCCUUUUGGAAAAUACUUUGGAUUGGAUUGAGGAACGCAGCGAAUGCCUUUAGGCGAGAUUGCUGGGCGCUUUUACUAAUAGAUGCUAGAACUUCUGCCUCGGGUGGUGCUAGUGUUUAAAGGUGAAACUCGUUUAGUAUAUUUUUCACUCGCUUAGGUUGUUGGCUUAAUGA
rnacentral:rRNA from 1 species